UAAGCCUGUGAAGGUGUGUCGUGAGGCAUGCUGGAGGUAUCAGAAGUGCGAAUGCUGACAUAAGUAACGAUAAAGCGGGUGAAAAGCCCGCUCGCCGGAAGACCAAGGGUUCCUGUCCAACGUUAAUCGGGGCAGGGUGAGUCGACCCCUAAGGCGAGGCCGAAAGGCGUAGUCGAUGGGAAACGGGUUAAUAUUCCCGUACUUGGUGUUACUGCGAAGGGGGGACGGAGAAGGCUAUGUUGGCCGGGCGACGGUUGUCCCGGUUUAAGCGUGUAGGUGUGUGUUCCAGGUAAAUCCGGUUCACUUUAACACUGAGGCGUGAUGACGAGGCACUACGGUGCUGAAGCAACAAAUGCCCUGCUUCCAGGAAAAGCCUCUAAGCAUCAGGUAACAUCAAAUCGUACCCCAAACCGACACAGGUGGUCAGGUAGAGAAUACCAAGGCGCUUGAGAGAACUCGGGUGAAGGAACUAGGCAAAAUGGUGCCGUAACUUCGGGAGAAGGCACGCUGACAC
rnacentral:rRNA from 3 species